AGUUUCUGGGAAAUUUGAAGGAAAGUAAUCCAGCCAUUUUCAGAAACCAAGGCUUCUAGAUGUCAUGCUACCCACCCAUGCUAUCGUCCAUCAGUCAACAGUAAGGGAACUGCUCGUCCUGCUUGCAGGCUAGGAGGCCCUGUAGGGAAGCACACG